rnacentral:ncRNA from 1 species
UACCUGAUUGAUUCUGUCAGCGCGAUAUGCUCAAGUAAAAGAUUAAGCCAUGCAUGCUUUGAUUCAUAAAUGAAAUUGACGUACGGCUCAUUAGAGCAGAUAUCACCUUUCUCGGAAUCCUGAAAAAGGAUAACUGCGGAAAUUCUGGAGCUAAUACAUGCGACUAUACUCCAACGCAAGGCGGGGUGCAAUUAUUAGAACAGACCAAACGUUUUCGGACGUUGUUUGUUGACUCUGAAUACCGUCGUUUACUGUCAGUUUCGACUGACUCUAUCCGAGAAGGGUGUCUGCCCUUUCAACUAGAUGGUAAUCUAUUGGACUACCAUGGUUGUUACGGGUAACGGAGAAUUAGGGUUCGACUCCGGAGAGGGAGCCUUAGAAACGGCUACCACGUCCAAGGAAGGCAGCAGGCGCGAAACUUAUCCACUGUUGAGUAUGAGAUAGUGACUAAAAAUAUAAAGACUCAUCCUUCUGGAUGAGUUAUUUCAAUGAGUUGAAUAUAAAUUAUUCUUCGAGUAGCAAGGAGAGGGCAAGUCUGGUGCCAGCAGCCGCGGUAAUUCCAGCUCUCCUAGUGUAUCUCGUUAUU